rnacentral:rRNA from 1 species
CCUACGGGUGGCAGCAGUGAGGAAUAUUGGUCAAUGGGCGAGAGCCUGAACCAGCCAAGUCGCGUGAGGGAGUACUGCCCUAUGGGUUGUAAACCUCUUUUGUCGGGGAGCAAAAGCCGGACGUGUCCGGCUGUGAGAGUACCCGAAGAAAAAGCAUCGGCUAACUCCGUGCCAGCAGCCGCGGUAAUACGGAGGAUGCGAGCGUUAUCCGGAUUUAUUGGGUUUAAAGGGGGCGCAGGCGGGUUUUUAAGUCAGCGGUAAAAUCGUGGGGCUCAACCCCAUCCAGCCGUUGAAACUGGGGAUCUAGAGUGUGCGAGAGGUAUGCGGAAUGCGUGGUGUAGCGGUGAAAUGCAUAGAUAUCACGCAGAACCCCGAUUGCGAAGGCAGCAUACCGGUGCACAACUGACGCUCAGGCACGAAAGCGUGGGUAUCGAACAGGAUUAGAUACCCGGGUAGUC